CAGAAGAAGAAUAGAAAGGUAACCAAGUCGGCUUGUUAGCCUAAUGGUAAGAAACCUGACAGCGGAGAAGAUGCAUAUUGUGGCUUGGUGCUUUUUAACAUCUUGGAAGUGCAUGGAGCAUUGACUGCACUGCCUCGCCUUCCUUCCCGUAAUCUGACCAAACAACCUGCAGCAUCUCGGAUGACUGUCGUGUCCCAGAUGUAACUGGGUCUUACUGCGAGUACUCUUGGGCAAAUGAUUAACCCUGAGCUGGUGGUGAAUAACAGCAUCAACGAUCUCAUCACCCCGAAAAUGCUUUGACAUUAUCAUCUACACACAAAACUGCAUCUCAGAGGGGAUCCGUCACAGGGUUCACUCCAACUGCACUUUAGUUUUCCUCGUGAAGUCUCAGAAGCAAAAAGAUUCCUGUUACUGUUGGUGCUAUUGUUGGUGCUAUUGUUGCUAUCCUGCUGGCGGGGCUCCUUUGUGUCUGCCUGUGCUACAAAUUCAAAGAUAACAUUUCCAGGAUGUUCAACCGGAGAAGAUGCAGAACGGUGACCCGAGGGCAGCUGAAGAGGAGGCGGGGAAGAUGUAGAAAGACCUUCUUGUUUUCUUUUUUCUAUUUGGAAUAUAUUUAUACAUGCAUACAUAAAAUAGUUUGCUAAUAUUCUUCACAUGUGGAGUUUGUGUCCCAAAAAAACCCAGUAUUUUAACAGUCUCAGACUUUAUAAUAAUAGAACCAGUAAUUCUUGGGGCAAAGGAAGCAGGCAGACCUCUGAGGACCAAAGCCAAGUAGCACUGCAGUAACCUCCCCGGGUCCAGCCAUGUUCCCCAUGUUGUUUUUAACGUGAACCAAUAAUAUUUAUAUGCCAAAAUCGGG